CAGUAGCCGCGGUAAUGCGUAGGUGGCAAGCGUUGUCCGGAAUUAUUGGGCGUAAAGGGCUCGCAGGCGGUUUCUUAAGUCUGAUGUGAAAGCCCCCGGCUCAACCGGGGAGGGUCAUUGGAAACUGGGAAACUUGAGUGCAGAAAAGGAGAGUGGAAUUCCACGUGUAGCGGUGAAAUGCGUAGAGAUGUGGAGGAACACCAGUGGCGAAGGCGACUCUCUGGUCUGUAACUGACGCUGAGGAGCGAAAGCGUGGGGAGCGAACAGGAUUAGAUACCCCUGUAGUCCCUGUCUCUUAUAC
rnacentral:rRNA from 1 species